rnacentral:rRNA from 2 species
ACGGAAGGCAGCAGUGGGGAAUAUUGCACAAUGGGGGAAACCCUGAUGCAGCGACGCCGCGUGAGUGAAGAAGUAUUUCGGUAUGUAAAGCUCUAUCAGCAGGAAAGAAAAUGACGGUACCUGACUAAGAAGCCCCGGCUAACUACGUGCCAGCAGCCGCGGUAAUACGUAGGGGGCAAGCGUUAUCCGGAUUUACUGGGUGUAAAGGGAGUGUAGACGGCUUUGCAAGUCUGAAGUGAAAGCCCGGGGCUCAACCCCGGAACUGCUUUGGAAACUGUAGAGCUAGAGUGCAGGAGAGGUAAGUGGAAUUCCUAGUGUAGCGGUGAAAUGCGUAGAUAUUAGGAGGAACACCAGUGGCGAAGGCGGCUUACUGGACUGUAACUGACGUUGAGGCUCGAAGGCGUGGGGAGCAAACAGGAUUAGAUACCCUGGUA